rnacentral:lncRNA from 1 species
AAAAAUUUCACCAAAAAGUCUAGUUCAGAUUGAAACUUAGGGUCUGUUAGUCAAAGGGGUGUCUGGUGUCUUUUAUAUUUCUUUUCCAUCCAUUACUUUCAGAAUACAAAUAUAUUAUCUUUCUCCUAGUUUCUGGACUCCGUCAGCAUUGCAAUUGAGAUAUGCAAUUUCGCAUUUAGCCACCACCACACAGCUUUAACUAUGUUUGAAAAGUUUUCAGAUUUGAAAGAGAAUAGGGAGGACACCUUUUCUUUAGCAUGAAUGAAUGUUUCUAGAAUGAAAGAUGUUGAGAGUUGUGUGGCAAUUUCAGUCAGUUCCUGAGGAUUCUCCAUGGUUUGCGGUAUGUAUCCACAGAUUUGCCACAUAAAUCUGGCAGAGGAAAGUUAAAACAAAAAUAUAAUUGUUAAUAUCUAAAGAGAGAAAAAAAUCAAUAAUGGGUCUACUGGUUUUUUUGUUCUUUUUUACUCUUAUAAAGCUUUAGUUCAACUGCAAGUGUAGUUAAGAUGACCAGAGUAACAUUCGAAUGUAGAACUGAAUGACUAAAAACUAAUAUUAUACUAUAUUUGCAGUUUGCACAUAUAAAUAAUAAUCUAAGUGUCAAUAUUAUUGAAGAAAGUCGUUAUUAUUUUGACGAAAGCUGUUAGACCAAAGGAUCUCAUAUCGAGGUUUUACUUCAUUAUUAAAAUAUAAAGAGGUAUCUUCCGAUAAACUCUUGAUAUUAUGGCGGAAAAAAGUUGAUGAUGCAUGAUUUUGAUGUGGCAUUUUAAAACCAAUGACUUUUAUUCGAUUCUUUCUAUUCUCCCCUAGUUUUCUGAUGGAAAAAAAUUAUUGACAUUUUUAGUUUUUCUGAAUGCUUGCUUCUCUAAAUAUUCACACCAGAGUUUUCAAAACUUGAGUCGUUUCAAAUAUUAAUAUUGAAUUUCUUACUAGCUAUCACUGGACUUCAGACACUUCAAAUAGAAAUAAUCUAGAUCAAGACCUGAUAAAAGAGUUCUUUUCUGGAAAACUUACUGGAAGUAGGUGUGCUCAAAAAAUUUUUGUCAUGCAAGAAUUUGCGGUUGUCUUCCCAGAUCCAGUUCUCAAGAUCUGCGCUUAGCUUUAUAUUUGAUACAUGGGAAUCAAUUGGUUUCGGUGACUCUGACACAUGUGCUGAUGAGUUCGGUGACACAUCUAUCUCUUUUGAAUUCCCUUCCAGGCCAUCUUUCUCAUUCUUUUCUCUCUCCUCUAACGUUUCUUCUGAGAAACAAACACGAGUAGGAAUGGAUCAUUCCCGAUCAAGUCAGGCCACCAUGACCGAGAAAUAUCAAAAACGAUAUUGAGGAAAAGGUCUACGUUGAUGAACUAAAGUUUACAACUUACCAAGGAAACAACAUUAUUACUGAUGACACCACCAAACAGAGUUUUCACCAUGGAUUUUAAAUCUGAAUCCAUCUCCUCCAGUUUUGAGACCAGGUCAAUGAAAAACUCGGCCAUAUCUUUUUGUUCUCCUGUGUUUAACGGCUGAUGGUACAUAGUGUACACUCGGCAAAAGCUUCGUGGAUCGUACGAUUUCCUCUCACUUUCCUGUAAUCACAGAAAGAAAACGUUAAAGAGAUUAUUAGAGCAAAAUGCAACUUACAAUGCAGGGAACUUCGACGGUGUGAGUCGGCAUCACAUAUCUCGUUUGCGUGUCUGAAAAUCUCCGCCUCUAUGUUAUCUUUUUAAAGGAGAACAAAUUGACAUCAUUCCUUGAAGUUUUUGCAGAAUUGUUUUCAUACAGAGAAGAAAAAUCACGGCAGUUUUAAAGAAUUUCCAUUGAGUAGUUUUCUGUUUAAAAAAUAAAGUAUGACAGGAAGUCUGCGACGUUGCAAACUGAGUUAUGUGAUUGCUAUUUAACUUGAAGAUAAAAUUAAAGUCCAAAAAUUUGAUCAGGAAUCGAGUUCAUUAAAUAUUACAAAUGAGAAUAAGGCUAAU